rnacentral:misc_RNA from 1 species
UUUCCGUAGGUGAACCUGCGGAAGGAUCAUUAAUGAGUUGUCAUGGGGUUCGAUGCUGGCAGCCAGUUUUUGGAUGCAUGUGCUUGCCCUAACAAUCAUCUUCUUCCAAACACCUGUGCACAUUUUUGAGGGAGUCUUGAGUUGGUUGCCGCUCUUGGGUGAUUUUCUCACAUUCCCUUAAAUCAUUAUAUGCUAUUAACAAUGUUGAACGUGCUCUGUACCGCAAGGCCAUUAAUAUAAUACAACUUUUAACAACGGAUCUCUUGGCUCUC